rnacentral:rRNA from 1 species
UACAGGGGGUGCAAACGUUGCUCGGAAUCAUUGGGCGUAAAGCGCACGUAGGCGGUUCGUUAUGUCGGAUGUGAAAGCCCUUGGCUUAACCGAGGAAGUGCAUCCGAAACUGGCGAGCUAGAGUACGAAAGAGGAUCGCGGAAUUCCCGGUGUAGAGGUGAAAUGCGCAGAUAUCGGGAGGAACACCGGUGGCGAAGGCGGUUCUCUGGGCCUGUACUGACGCUGAGGAGCGAAAGCGUGGGGAGCGAACAGG